AGACCCGAAACCCGGUGAUCUAGCCAUGGGCAGGUUGAAGGUUGGGUAACACUAACUGGAGGACCGAACCGACUAAUGUUGAAAAAUUAGCGGAUGACCUGUGGCUGGGGGUGAAAGGCCAAUCAAACCGGGAGAUAGCUGGUUCUCCCCGAAAGCUAUUUAGGUAGCGCCUCGUGAAUUCAUCUCCGGGGGUAGAGCACUGUUUCGGCUAGGGGGCCAUCCCGGCUUACCAACCCGAUGCAAACUGCGAAUACCGGAGAAUGUUAUCACGGGAGACACACGGCGGGUGCUAACGUCCGUCGUGAAGAGGGAAACAACCCAGACCGCCAGCUAAGGUCCCAAAGUCAUGGUUAAGUGGGAAACGAUGUGGGAAGGCCCAGACAGCCAGGAUGUUGGCUUAGAAGCAGCCAUCAUUUAAAGAAAGCGUAAUAGCUCACUGGUCGAGUCGGCCUGCGCGGAAGAUGUAACGGGGCUAAACCAUGCACCGAAGCUGCGGCAGCGAACGUAUCACUUAAAGCGAUUCAGCGGGUUACGAUUGACGGAGCGAAGCGACGUCAAAGCGUAUACAAAGUCGAGUCGGUUUAAGGAUACGUUCGUUGGGUAGGGGAGCGUUCUGUAAGCCUGUGAAGGUGGCCUGUGAGGGUUGCUGGAGGUAUCAGAAGUGC
rnacentral:rRNA from 1 species